CAACACCCUUCAUCUAACAAGGUCCAAGGCUUCCUGAACACUGCUUUGUAAGCUGCCUCGCAGACAAACCCUGUGAAACCUGAGGUCGCCACACCAGCGGCAGGAUGCAGGUCACUGGACCACGGCAGCCCACUCUGCAGUCAACAGUGCGGGUCACUUUACGCUGACAGAGCUGCUCUCCAGCACCUCCCCCGGCACACACACACCCAAAGCACAGGAGAGUGUCCAUUUCACAAGGUGUCCGGCACUGCUUUCCUUAAAACGAAGCUUCUAUCUGGAAGGUCACCUUGGUCCCCGCGCGGCUCGGGACCGAGCGCCUGGGCUCUGUGACAUCAGCGUUGGCUUCUCAACCGCUGACCUUCAGGCCCCAGAGCUUGGCCCGACCCUAGAACGGCCACCGCCCUUCACACCGCGGAGGGCGGCGUCCCUCCCACCGCCGCGCCGAAUUCGGGCUUGGCGACUCGCUGGGGGGUCCCGGGCGCCCCCCACCCGCCCCGACGGCCAAGCGCCCGGAGCCCGCCCCACGGCCGCCCCUGAGGGCUGUCGUCCCGACAGGCUCGGUCCACUCCGCCCGCCGAGCCCUCGCCGAGCCCCGCUGCUGUGCUGACUUCAGCCCACAUCGCACCCCAGCCACCAGGGAACUUUCCAGAACGUUGGCCCUCUCUGGGAAGUCCCGAGUCGCCAUCCAGGAGGGAGCGCCCACCUGAGGCCUGGCGGGCUCGGGGCCGGGCCGCACGCGGAGCGCACCCUUCGGGCCCAGCCUCCGGAAGCGCUAUUCAGUCGCCGCGGGGCGCCACCCCUCGGGCCGGGCCCGCCGCUCCAGGGGCACCGACGGCGGCGCAGCAAGACACGGGAGAGCACCGCGCCCCCAGCCCGCCAGGAGCCCCCUGCCCGCCUAGACCUCGCCCGACCCCCCGGAGGCAGCCCGAGCUAAAAUUAGCGCCGAGCGCGCGGCGCGCUCACGUGCGCCCCGCGGGACGGGGUGCGGGGACCAGGCCUUGGAUCGUGAAAGAUCUAGAGCGAUGACUGCUCUCGCUCACCCGUGGAGGCAGAACUUGUCUUAUAUCUCUUUGUCCGGAGAAGUGUUGGCUAAGAUGAUGUUGAAAAAAAGAAGAGCACCUGAACCUCAUUGGAAGCUCCCCGAAGCCUCAGAACCUCCUCCUGGAAGCCCUCUGUGAUUAACCGGAAUCUCAUCCUUACUCAAAAGUUACACAGCUAAAGAAUGGCAAACAGGAAGUCAUUCCCAGGUCAGCUGGACUCUGAGUCUGUGUUUUGGUGACGAAGAUGGGCUAUGAAAUCUAUGUCUUAUUCGGGGUUUUGACUUUUUAUCUCCCAGCCUUCACUUCCCAUCAUCUUCCUAUCUCAGAAGCCCCAUUUAAUGUUGUUAAGAGCCGUAAAUGUAACUGGCCACUAAUGUGGAAGGAUUGUGAUCUCCAGCAAACGGCCCCAGCAAAGAAAGGAGCAGGAAUCCUGGGUCUGUUCCCAACCGUGCCAGUGACUCACUGGAUGACACAAAGUAAUGUGGUUCUUUUGUUGGGGGGAGAGAUGUGAGAAGACGACGCACACAGCUGCUCGCCUGACAGAGGUGAAAGGGUGGAGGAGAAGCCAUUUGACAGGCUCCCAGCAUAGUGGAGGCUCAGGGGUCCCUGGGUGAAUCCAGUUCCAUAGUAACUGCUUAGCAAUGGCCGGCUGGGUCAGCCCUGAGCUCUGGCCCACUUGAGCCCCUGCCUCCGAUGGAGCCGCUAAGAUGGCGUGGGCUGGAUUAUGGCACUUACCCUUCAUGACAUCAUUCUCAUUGGUUAGGAAUGCGCCCUGGUUGUUCCUAACUCCACUUUAAUAACUUGUUAUAGAUCUGCCCUCCAGGAAUUUGUUUGAAACUUUCUUUAAUCUAUUUAUAUUUCAGCCUGUGCAGCCUUUUCAGGCGGCAAGUAGACUGACCAUUUAUGUAAAAGCACUUAGGUCCUAAAACACAGAAAGUGCUAUAUUAGGGUUCUUAUCAUAAUAAAACGUUUGUAAUUAUAAUGUAUUUAAUAAUGAUAUUAUAAUUUGAUGAUAACAGUGAAUUCAGGUGGUCUCACAGGCUUAUUUUUAGUCACUCACUCUGUUUGUCUUUGUCUUUAUCUCCCCACGCACCACUCCCUAGCCAUCAAAAAGUAUUUAUUAAUGGAGUGAGGGGCUGUCAUGGGUAUAACAAUGCAUGCAAACUUAGAUAAACACAUUCAGUGUCCUCUAAAGACUUACCAUCUACCACCAACAUACAGUAGGUGCUCAAUAAAUACUUGUUGGGCGAAUGGAUGGAUGGAAGGAAUUAAAAAAACCUGCGUGGUAACUGGUGAGACAUAUUAGGAAUGACUAUUUUGGGGGUUGGAGAGCAAACCUGAGAGCAUCAUGGGCAAGGAGGGAAAAGGGAACAUCCUGAUUUUCUGGUCAAUGCGCACGUGUGAGCUCUCCUCAGAUUGGCCCUAGAGCUCAUCCUGGAGGAAGAGCUGGUUUCCAGGCUGCUGAAAUGAUGCCUAGAGGAGGCAGGCCAAGGGGCACCCCCAUGGCAGGUGCCAUAUGGGUUGCAGGAGUGAGGAGGCAGGUACGGGGUCCAGAAGAGAAAGACCGGUCCCUGUGGCUAUCUCUAUUUUCAGUAGGAACCACACCGGAAUGUUUUAAAAAUCCCAUGACUCAGUAGGUGAAUGGCCAAAUAAAUUGUGGUACAUCCAAACAAUGGAAUAUUAUUCAAUGCCAAAAAGAAAUGAGCUAUCAAGCCAUGAAAACACAUGGAGGAAACUUAAGUGUGCAUAUCAAUAAGUGAAAGGAGCCAACUGAAAAGGCUAUGUGCUGUAUGAUUCCAACUAUAUGACCUACUGGAAAAGGCAAAACUACGGAGACAGUAAGAAGAUCAGUGGUUGUCAGGGGUUAGUGGGGAGGGAGGGAUGAAUAGGCGGAGCGCAGAGGAUUUUUAGGGCAAACUACUCUGUGUGAUACUGUAAUGGUGCAUAUGUGUCAUUAGACAUUUGUCCAAACCCACGGAACAUACACCACCAAGAGUGAACCCUAAUGUAAACUGUGGACUUUGGGGGAUUACGAUGUGUCAGUGUAGGUUCAUCAGUUGUAACAAAUGUACCACUCUGGUCCAUCUGGUGGGGGAGAGUGUGCAUGUGGGGAGGGCAGGGGGUAUAUGGGAAAUCUCUGUACCUUCUGCUGUUUUGCUGUGAACCUAUAACUGCUCUGCUCUGCAAAAUAAAGUCUGUUUUAAAAUAAA
ensembl:lncRNA